UACGAAGGUCCCAAGCGUUGUUCGGAAUCACUGGGCGUAAAGCGUGUGUAGGCUGCGCGGAAAGUCAAAUGUGAAAGCCCAGGGCUUAACCCUGGAACUGCAUUCGAUACUCCCGUGCUAGAGUAAUGGAGAGGUAAGUGGAAUUCUCGGUGUAGCAGUGAAAUGCGUAGAUAUCGAGAGGAACAUCAAUGGCGAAGGCAACUUACUGGACAUUUACUGACGCUCAGACACGAAGGCUAGGGGAGCGAAAGGG
rnacentral:rRNA from 1 species